AGCUCCAAUAGCGUAUAUUAAUGUUGUUGCAGUUAAAAAGCUCGUAGUUGGAUUUCUGGUGGGAGCGGCCGGCCCGCCCCUCACGGGGUGUGUGCUGCGCCGACUCCGGCCAUCUUUGUGGAGAGCGGCUCGCGCAUUAAGUUGUGCGGGUCGGGAUCCGCAUCGUUUACUGUGAAAAAAUUAGAGUGUUUAAAGCAGGCGUAAGCUGUGAAUACAUUAGCAUGGAAUAAUAAGAUAGGGCUUUGGUGCUAUUUUGUUGGUUUGCACACCGGAGCAAUGAUUAACAGGGACAGUUGGGGGGUAUUAGUAUUCAGUUGUCAGAGGUGAAAUUCUUGGAUUUACGGAAGACUAACUACUGCGAAAGCAUUUA
rnacentral:rRNA from 1 species